UGCAUGGAGCCGACCUUGAAAUACCACCCUUUAAUGUUUGAUGUUCUAACGUUGGCCCGUAAUCCGGGUUGCGGACAGUGUCUGGUGGGUAGUUUGACUGGGGCGGUCUCCUCCUAAAGAGUAACGGAGGAGCACGAAGGUUGGCUAAUCCUGGUCGGACAUCAGGAGGUUAGUGCAAUGGCAUAAGCCAGCUUGACUGCGAGCGUGACGGCGCGAGCAGGUGCGAAAGCAGGUCAUAGUGAUCCGGUGGUUCUGAAUGGAAGGGCCAUCGCUCAACGGAUAAAAGGUACUCCGGGGAUAACAGGCUGAUACCGCCCAAGAGUUCAUAUCGACGGCGGUGUUUGGCACCUCGAUGUCGGCUCAUCACAUCCUGGGGCUGAAGUAGGUCCCAAGGGUAUGGCUGUUCGCCAUUUAAAGUGGUACGCGAGCUGGGUUUAGAACGUCGUGAGACAGUUCGGUCCCUAUCUGCCGUGGGCGCUGGAGAACUGAGGGGGGCUGCUCCUAGUACGAGAGGACCGGAGUGGACGCAUCACUGGUGUUCGGGUUGUCAUGCCAAUGGCACUGCCCGGUAGCUAAAUGCGGAAGAGAUAAGUGCUGAAAGCAUCUAAGCACGAAACUUGCCCCGAGAUG
rnacentral:rRNA from 1 species